rnacentral:rRNA from 1 species
AUUGAACGCUGGCGGCAGGCCUAACACAUGCAAGUCGAACGCGUGGCGGACGGGUGAGUAAUGUCUGGGAAACUGCCUGAUGGGGGGGGAUCACUACUGGACACGGUAGCUAAUACCGCAUACCAUCAGAUGUGCCCAGAUGGGAUUAGAUAGUUGGUGGGGUAACGGCUCACCAAGGCGACGCUCCCUAGCUGGUCUGAGAGGGUGACCAGCCAAACUGGGACGGAGACACGGUCCAGACCCCUACGGGAGGCAGCAGUGGGGAAUAUUGCACAAUGGGCGCAAGCCUGAUGCAGCCAUGCCGGGGGGAUGAAGAAGGCCUUCGGGUUGGAAAGGACUUUCAGCGGGGAGGCGUUACCCGCAGAAGAAGCACCGGCUAACUCCGUGCCAGCAGCCGCGGUAAUAC